GCCAGGUGUGGUGGCACAUGCCUGUAAUCCCAGUGGCUCAGGAGGCUGAGGCAGGAGGAUGGAGAGUUCAAAGACAGCCUCAGCAAUAGCAAUGCACUAAGCAACUCAGUGAGACCCUGUCUCUA
rnacentral:sRNA from 1 species